UACGUAGGGUGCGAGCGUUAAUCGGAAUACUGGGCGUAAAGCGUGCGCAGGCGGCGCGUUAAGACAGGUGUGAAAGCCCCGAGCUUAACUUGGGAAUUGCGCUUGUGACUGGCGUGCUGGAGUGUGGCAGAGGGAGGUGGAAUUCCACGUGUAGCAGUGAAAUGCGUAGAGAUGUGGAGGAACACCGAUGGCGAAGGCAGCCUCCUGGGCCAGCACUGACGCUCAUGCACGAAAGCGUGGGGAGCAAACAGG
rnacentral:rRNA from 1 species